rnacentral:rRNA from 1 species
UACAGAGACUGCAAGCGUUAUUCGGAUUCACUGGGCGUAAAGGGCGCGUAGGCGGCUUAACAAGUCACUUGUGAAAUCUCCGGGCUUAACUCGGAACGGCCAAGUGAAACUGUCAAGCUAGAGUGCAGAAGGGGCAAUCGGAAUUCUUGGUGUAGCGGUGAAAUGCGUAGAUAUCAAGAGGAACACCUGAGGUGAAGACGGGUUGCUGGGCUGACACUGACGCUGAGGCGCGAAAGCCAGGGGAGCAAACGGG